UCAUUGGAAACCCUGGGGCAGUUCUACUCUGUCCUAUAGAGUCACUCUAAUCAAAAAUACAGUUGGCCAAAACAUAUGACAAGAUUUUCAGCAUUACUACUGAUCAAGAAACUGCAAAAUAAAACAGCAGGACCAAGAGGCACUUGGAAGGACUGUGAGAAAUGAGAACAAAUGGAAAAUGAGAGAACUGAGAACAAUUAGAAACGACUGAAGAAACUUGAUGAGAGUGGCAUGAAGAGAAGGAAUGGGACUGGCAGGGACCUAGAGCCACAGGCAAAACAGCCUGUUAACAUUGAGCAAGGUCCCUGUGGGAAGAAUGAGGUUUGUUAGCAAAGAGGAAACACUCUUUUUCAGCGUGAUAUUAACUGUGCCUUUGCAGAGUUCUUUUACUUCCUCUCAUCUUGGCUCUUGUUAUUACAUUGUCAUUUGCUUUUAAAAGCAAUCUGAGAUCUCUGAAGACUUCUUAGUCUGAAGCUUCUGAUGGCCAGUGGUUUGUAUCUUUCCCAUGUGAUCCUAAAGUUCAAAAUACACUUUUCCACUGCCUUUAGUAGAACUUUUCUUUGUCACUCUCGUGGCUCAGGAAGCUGUCCUAAAUCCUGGGAGGGCAUAAACGGAGGCUGUCUCUGCAAGAGACUGCAGAUAUGUAUAAGGGAGUGCGGGCCCCAAGGCUCUUCACUUCCCUCUUGGCUUGAGGUGGGUGUUAUUUUAGGAAGUAGAAGGUCCUUAUGAUCACUGGCUUUCUGUGUGGUUCAUGCAGUUUUCCACAUAGUGAAUCACAGAGCAACUCAGAGAGAAAGGAUCUGCAGAGGAGGACUCUGAGAUCUGAAGGCUUAGGGUCCUGGAAAAAUAAAAAUGAAUUCAAGUCUUCAGCUAACUAGGAUUGGGAGCUAACUGUUUGGAGGGUGUGUUGGCGGUUCAGUUGUAGGAUUUUUGCCUUCCG